rnacentral:rRNA from 1 species
UGGGGAAUAUUGCACAAUCGGCGCAAGCCUGAUGCAGCCAUGCCGCGUGUGUGAAGAAGGCCUUCGGGUUGUAAAGUACUUUCAGCGGGGAGGAAGGGAGUAAAGUUAAUACCUUUGCUCAUUGACGUUACCCGCAGAAGAAGCACCGUCUAACUCCGUGCCAGCAGCCGCGGUAAUACGGAGGGUGCAAGCGUUAAUCGGAAUUACUGGGCGUAAAGCGCACGCAGGCGGUUUGUUAAGUCGGAUGUGAAAUCACCGGGCUUAACACGGGAAUGGCAUCUGAAAAUGGUCAGCUAGAGUGUGGUAGAGGGGGGUAGAAUUCCAUGUGUAGCAGUGAAAUGCGUAGAAAUGUGGAGGAAUACCGGUGGCGAAGACGGCCACCUGGACAAAGACUGACGCUCAGGUGCGAAAGCGUGGGGAGCAAACAGG